rnacentral:rRNA from 1 species
CCUACGGGAGGCAGCAGUGAGGAAUAUUGGUCAAUGGGCUUACGCCUGAACCAGCCAAGUCGCGUGAGGGAAGACUGCCCUAUGGGUUGUAAACUUCUUUUAUAAAGGAAUAAAACGCGGCACGUGUGCCUUUUUGCAUGUACUUUAUGAAUAAGGAUCGGCUAACUCCGUGCCAGCAGCCGCGGUAAUACGGAGGAUCCGAGCGUUAUCCGGAUUUAUUUGGUUUAAAGGGAGCGUAGAUGGGUUGUUAAGUCAGUUGUGAAAGUUUGCGGCUCAACCGUAAAAUUGCAAUUGAUACUGGCAGUCUUGAGUACAGUUGAGGUAGGCGGAAUUCGUGGUGUAGCGGUGAAAUGCUUAGAUAUCACGAAGAACCCCGAUUGCGAAGGCAGCUUACUAAACUGUGACUGACAUUGAUGCUCGAAAGUGUGGGUAUCAAACAGGAUUAGAUACCCCAGUAGUC